GCAUAGCCUGUGAGGGGAAAGCGUGGGUCUCACCAGGGGAGCUGCCUGCUUCUCUGACACAACAAAGACAAUGGAAAAUGAGAGUGCGGAGGGAAAGGGAGUGAUUCCAGGCACACUGUCAGGAUUUCCACUGCUCUGUUCCUCGCUGCCUCUGGUUCGUCCGUCAGAUCUUCAUUGGGCUGCAAGUAUCAACACAGUUGAGUUAAAAUUGUGCCCUGGGUACCCUGAGAUAGUACCUGGGUAGUCUGAGAGAGUGGUAUUUUCAGGACUUGUGAUUUCAAGCGUAAUUUACAUAUUACAUAAUGAAAUUUUGGAUUUAAUUAAUUUUCACUGUACAAAACGAGAGCACCGAGAAGUUGCUCUGAGCAGACAGCAGGCAGUGUUUUGGAGUUACAUGAGGAAGGAAAAUGCCACACAAAAGGGCUGAGCUCAAACUGCAGCAAUUGGCAUCCCCAGAAGGAUGUGCUGGGGAGACCAGACAUCUGUCUGGUUGAGGGAGCAAUCCCUCCUGCAUGUCCCCUUGGGAUGUCGCACUGGGAAGGACACACAGUGCAGCAAGCAGAGGGAGGCUUGAUCCCAUGUUUGGGCUGAGGGUCUGGGAUGAAAACCAAGUUCCCUGAAGUUCAUACAAGGAUAUUUUUUAAAUCUGUUCUUCCUGUAGUAUAAAUCUCUCCUUACCUGUUCUGCAAGUGAAUCACCCACCUGCUCCCAAAUAAAACUACCAAUUUUCCUUCUGAUUUCUGCCAAAAACAAAAAAACAAAUGACUGUGAGAGCAUCAGAUAAUGAGACGGUGCAGCUGUCACUGCCUGUGCAAGCCCCCACCUCUUGCAGGUGCUAGCGAGGGCGCUCAGGAGCCCUGGCAGGAGCGCACAGCACCUCACUGCUCGCUAACGCCAUCCGGGUGAGACCAGUGGCGAGUGGUGUCCCUCAGGGGUCCGUACUGGGACCAGUAUUAUUUAACAUCUUUGUCAGGCAACAUGGACAGUGGGAUCAAAGGCACCCUCAGCAAGUCUGACACCACCAACCUGAGUGGUGCAGGCAACACGCUGGAGGGACAGGGUGCCGUCCAGAGGGACCUCGACAGGUUUGAGAGGUGAGACUGUGCGAACCCCAUGAAGUUCAACAAGGCCAAGUGCAAGGUCCUCCACAUGGGUCGGGGCAGUCCCAGCCACAAGGACAGGCUGGGCAGGGAAUGGAUCGGGAGCAGCCCUGAAGAGAAGGGAUUGGGGGUGCUGGUGGAGGAGAAGCUCAGCGUGGCCCAGCCAUGCGCGCUUGCAGCCCAGAAAGCCAACUGAGCCCUGGGCUGUGUCACCAGCGGCAUGGCUGGUGGGCUAAGGGAGGGGGCUCUGCCCCUCUGCCCUGCUCUGGUGAGACCCCCCCCCAGCGGCGCUGCCUCUGGCUCUGGGACCCCCAGCAUAAGAAGGACACGGAGCUGUUGGAGCGAGCCCAGAGGAGGCCACGGAGAUGCUCAGAGGGCCGGAGCCCCUCUGCUAUGGAAACAGGCUGAGAAAGAUGGAGCUGUUCAGCCUGGAGAAGGGAAGGCUCCAGGAGACCUUCCAGCACCCAAAGGGGCCGACAGGAAAGCUGGAGGGGGGGGGGCGGGCUGUGUGCAAGGGCCUCAGUGACAGGACAAAGGGGAACAACUAAGCUGGAAGAGGGUACAUUUCAAUUGGGUAUUAGGAAGAAAUCCUUCCCUGUGAGGGCGGGAAGGUGGUGGCACAGGCUGCCCGGAGAGGCUGUGGGUGCCCCAUCCCUGGCAGUGCCCAAGGCCAGGCUGGACGGGGCUGGGGGCAGCCUGGGCUGGGGGGGGUGUCCCUGCCCCUGGCACGGGUGGGACUGGGUGAUCUUUAAGGUCCCUGCCAACCCAAACCACUCCAUGGUUCUAUGUUAAUAGAUAGAGAAUGUAAUAGAUGGAGCAUCCUCUGCCGGCAGGGAGGAAGAACCAUUCCCAGCAGAAGGAAAUUCCCUCCACCUAGAACAGAAGUAACUGGAGGUUCUGGUUUGCACCACGAAAAGGCUGUGCUCAUGGGGGAACCCCCAGGGGAGCAAAACCCUGAUGGGCUUUUUUCACCCUGACCUUCUUGCAGGCAGGCGGGUGGCAGGACAAAGUGGCCCAGAACCACCAAUGGGUUUGGUCCCACGCUGGUGUUCCCCCACGCAGAGAGGUAACGAGAGUGAAAGACCGUAGCUCUGUCCUCCAAGUAAUCAAGGCUCUCAUAUAUUCUGGAAAAGAAAAAGGCAGCUGGUUUCCAAAGCACCUAAUUUUCUGUAGUUGUCUAACUAUGAGACUCUACCAGCAACACCCCGUUGCAGUCCCAGCUGCCAGCACCUCGUGAAGACCAGCCUGGAGGAAGGACGCCAGGGACCAGAUAUUGUGUGGACAGGGCUCAAUGUGAGCGUCAAACAGGGCUGCAGGCAUUUCCCUAGCAAGGAGGGUGCUGCUGGCGUGGGAGUGACAUGGAGGGGACAGCUGGGGGACACAGCCCACCUGCAGGUGUCUGGGUGGGUGGCAUCGCUGCUGAAGAGGUAGUCGGCAUCCCGCCAGUGGGUGAACGCCCCACCACCAGCCGCUGCGAGGCUUGUGUCAUCCCUGGAAAGGGGACGGGACGAGCCAUGGAGCAGGCGGCACCCGCGGCUGGCUUGCCCAAGGGAAGGCGCUGGCAGAGCCGAGCAGCCGCCGCUGGCCUGGAUCCUCCUUGCUCCUGUCGGCACCACCUCCUGAAUCUCUUCCAGCUUCUGCAGAAAGGUGAUGGCAGAAGAGGAGGUACGGAGAAGAAAGCAGCAUGUCCUUGCCCAGAUUGCAUGUUACCCCAUGCCGUCUGCUGCAUCAGAGCCUGCAGCUGCCCACCAGACCCCAUCCCCUUCAGAUGGUGCAUGCUUUGUGCUGCGGAAGGAAGAAGCCAUCCUGCCAGACAGCAUGUUAUCACCGAACCUGGUGAAUACGGAGCAAGCCCAGCCCAGCAGGGCACACGGGUGAGAGACAGCCACGUGAGGGCUCAAGCUGGUCUCCUCUGUGCUUGGACUUUCUGCACAUCCCAGGGGAAAGAUUUGCUAGUGCAUAUACUUAAGCAAAGCUGAAUAUGCCCUACGAGGUCAUAAGGUGUCAGCAGUACUGAAAAGUGAUACUGCAAAGCC